rnacentral:rRNA from 1 species
CCCUUAGAUGUUCUGGGCCGCACGCGCGCUACACUGAUGCAUUCAACGAGCCUAUCCUUGACCGACAGGUCCGGGUAAUCUUUGAAUCUGCAUCGUGACGGGGAUAGAUUAUUGCAAUUAUUAAUCUUCAACGAGGAAUGCCUAGUAGGCGCAAGUCAUCAGCUUGCGUCGAUUACGUCCCUGCCCUUUGUACACACCGCCCGUCGCUCCUACCGAUUGGGUGUGCUGGUGAAAUGUUCGGAUCGGCCGUUUGUCGCGGUUUCCGCGUCAUGUGGCUGAGAAGUUCAUUAAACCCUCCCACCUUGAGGAAGGAGAAGUCGUAACA